UACGGAGGGUGCAAGCGUUGUUCGGAAUUAUUGGGCGUAAAGCGCGUGUAGGCGGAUAGAUAAGUCAGGUGUGAAAUCCCUUGACUCAAUCAAGGAACUGCACUUGAAACUAUUUAUCUCGAGUACGAUAGGGGAGGGCGGAAUUCCCAGUGUAGAGGUGAAAUUCAUAGAUAUUGGGAGGAACACCAGUGGCGAAGGCGACCCUCUGGAUCGAUACUGACGCUGAGACGCGAAAGCGUGGGUAGCAAACAGG
rnacentral:rRNA from 1 species